rnacentral:ncRNA from 2 species
AGCCAGGUCCGUUGCCCUGGUGCCUGGGCGCGUAGUCCAGGCUUAAAGUGGGGAAGUCCGGUGCAAGUCCGGCGCUGUCCCGCAACGGUAACCGGCCACGCUUUGGGCUUAAGCUUCGCAGGCCGGAAGCCCGAAUACCUGCCAGGGCCGCCCGCCAAAC